AACGAACGCUGGCGGCAGGCCUAACACAUGCAAGUCGAACGCGCGUAGCAAUACGCGAGUGGCGCACGGGUGAGUAACACGUGGGAAUCAACCCUGAGGUUCGGAAUAACCGCGGGAAACUGCGGCUAAUACCGGAUGUCCCCUAUGGGGGAAAGAUUUAUCGCCUUGGGACGAGCCCGCGUCCGAUUAGCUAGUUGGUGAGGUAAUGGCUCACCAAGGCUAUGAUCGGUAGCNGGUCUGAGAGGAUGACCAGCCACACUGGAACUGAGAUACGGUCCAGACUCCUACGGGAGGCAGCAGUGGGGAAUAUUGGGCAAUGGAGGCAACUCUGACCCAGCCAUGCCGCGUGGGUGACGAAGGUCUUCGGAUUGUAAAGCCCUUUCGGCGGAGACGAUGAUGACGGUAUCCGCAGAAGAAGCCCCGGCUAACUUCGUGCCAGCAGCCGCUGU
rnacentral:rRNA from 1 species